rnacentral:rRNA from 1 species
CAGCAGCCGCGGGAAUACAGAGGGUGCGAGCGUUAAUCGGAUUUACUGGGCGUAAAGCGUGCGUAGGCGGCUUCUUAAGUCGGAUGUGAAAUCCCUGAGCUUAACUUAGGAAUUGCAUUCGAUACUGGGAAGCUAGAGUAUGGGAGAGGAUGGUAGAAUUCCAGGUGUAGCGGUGAAAUGCGUAGAGAUCUGGAGGAAUACCGAUGGCGAAGGCUGCCAUCUGGCCUAAUACUGACGCUGAGGUACGAAAGCAUGGGGAGCAAACAGGAUUAGAUACCCCUGUAGUCCCUGUCUCUUAUAC